AUUGAACGCUGGCGGCAUGCCUUACACAUGCAAGUCGAACGGUAACAGGUCUUCGGAUGCUGACGAGUGGCGAACGGGUGAGUAAUACAUCGGAACGUGCCUAGUAGUGGGGGAUAACUACUCGAAAGAGUGGCUAAUACCGCAUGAGAUCUACGGAUGAAAGCAGGGGAUCGCAAAACCUUGUGCUACUAUAGCGGCCGAUGGCAGAUUAGGUAGUUGGUGGGAUAAAAGCUUACCAAGCCGACGAUCUGUAGCUGGUCUGAGAGGACGAUCAGCCACACUGGGACGGAAACACGGCCCAGAGUCCUACGGGAGGCAGCAGUGGGGAAUUUUGGACAAUGGGCGCAAGCCUGAUCCAGCAAUGCCGCGUGCAGGAUGAAGGCCUUCGGGUUGUAGACUGCUUUUGUACGGAACGAAAAGCCCUGGGUUAAUACCCUGGGGUCAUGACGGUACCGUAAGAAUAAGCACCGGCUAACUACGUGCCAGCAGCCGCCGUAAAAC
rnacentral:rRNA from 1 species